rnacentral:rRNA from 1 species
AUGAACGCUAGCGGCAGGCUUAAUACAGUGCAAGUCGAACGGUAACAUGAGUAGCAAUACUUGAUGACGAGUGGCGCACGGUGCGUAACGCGUAUGCAACUUACCUUCAACUGGAAGAUAGCCCCUCGAAAGAGGGAUUAAUAUUCCAUAAUUUUAUGAUUUGGCAAUCAAAAUUUAUAAUUAAAGAUCAGUCGGUUGAAGAUAGGCAUGCGUGACAUUAGCUAGUUGGUGAGGUAAUGGCUCACCAAGGCAACGAUGUCUAGGGGAUCUGAGAGGACUAACCCCCACACUGGUACUGAGACACGGACCAGACUCCUACGGGAGGCAGCAGUGGGAAUUUUGGACAAUGGGGGAAACCCUGAUCCAGCAAUGCCGCGUGAGUGAAGAAGGCCUUCGGGUUGUAAAGCUCUUUUGUCAGGGGAGAAACACCGGCUCUAACACAGUCCGGGAAUGACGGUACCUGAAGAAUAAGCACCGGCUAACUACGUG